GACGAACGCUGGCGGCGUGCUUAACACAUGCAAGUCGAACGGAAAGGCCCCGCUUUUGUGGGGUGCUCGAGUGGCGAACGGGUGAGUAACACGUGAGUAACCUGCCCUUGACUUUGGGAUAACUUCAGGAAACUGGGGCUAAUACCGGAUAGGAGCUCCUGCUGCAUGGUGGGGGUUGGAAAGUUUCGGCGGUUGGGGAUGGACUCGCGGCUUAUCAGCUUGUUGGUGGGGUAGUGGCUUACCAAGGCCUUGACGGGUAGCCGGCCUGAGAGGGUGACCGGCCACAUUGGGACUGAGAUACGGCCCAGACUCCUACGGGAGGCAGCAGUGGGGAAUAUUGCACAAUGGGCGGAAGCCUGAUGCAGCAACGCCGCGUGCGGGAUGACGGCCUUCGGGUUGUAAACCGCUUUCGCCUGUGACGAAGCGUGAGUGACGGUAAUGGGUAAAGAAGCACCGGCUAACUACGUG
rnacentral:rRNA from 1 species